UACGUAGGGUGCGAGCGUUGUCCGGAAUUACUGGGCGUAAAGAGCUCGUAGGUGGUUUGUCGCGUUGUUCGUGAAAACUCACAGCUCAACUGUGGGUGUGCGGGCGAUACGGGCAGACUAGAGUACUGCAGGGGAGACUGGAAUUCCUGGUGUAGCGGUGGAAUGCGCAGAUAUCAGGAGGAACACCGGUGGCGAAGGCGGGUCUCUGGGCAGUAACUGACGCUGAGGAGCGAAAGCGUGGGGAGCGAACAGG
rnacentral:rRNA from 1 species